UGGCGAACGGGUGAGUAAUACAUCGGAACGUGUCCUGUAGUGGGGGAUAGCCCGGCGAAAGCCGGAUUAAUACCGCAUACGACCUAAGGGAGAAAGCGGGGGGAUCUUCGGACCUCGCGCUAUAGGGGCGGCCGAUGGCAGAUUAGCUAGUUGGUGGGGUAAAGGCCUACCAAGGCGACGAUCUGUAGCUGGUCUGAGAGGACGACCAGCCACACUGGGACUGAGACACGGCCCAGACUCCUACGGGAGGCAGCAGUGGGGAAUUUUGGACAAUGGGGGCAACCCUGAUCCAGCAAUGCCGCGUGUGUGAAGAAGGCCUUCGGGUUGUAAAGCACUUUUGUCCGGAAAGAAAACCUCGUGGCUAAUAUCCGUGAGGGAUGACGGUACCGGAAGAAUAAGCACCGGCUAACUACGUGCCAGCAGCCGCGGUAAUACGUAGGGUGCGAGCGUUAAUCGGAAUUACUGGGCGUAAAGCGUGCGCAGGCGGUCUGUUAAGACCGAUGUGAAAUCCCCGGGCUUAACCUGGGAACUGCAUUGGUGACUGGCAAGCUUUGAGUGUGGCAGAGGGGGGUAGAAUUCCACGUGUAGCAGUGAAAUGCGUAGAGAUGUGGAGGAAUACCGAUGGCGAAGGCAGCCCCCUGGGCCAACACUGACGCUCUCAUGCACGAAAGCGUGGGGAGCAAACAGGAUUAGAUACCCUGGUAGUCCACGCCCUAAACGAUGUCAACUAGUUGUUGGGGAUUCGUUUCCUUAGUAACGUAGCUAACGCGUGAAGUUGACCGCCUGGGGAGUACGGUCGCAAGAUUAAAACUCAAAGGAAUUGACGGGGACCCGCACAAGCGGUGGAUGAUGUGGAUUAAUUCGAUGCAACGCGAAAAACCUUACCUACCCUUGACAUGGUCGGAACCCUGCUGAAAGGUGGGGGUGCUCGAAAGAGAACCGGCGCACAGGUGCUGCAUGGCUGUCGCCAGCUCGUGUCGUGAGAUGUUGGGUUAAGUCCCGCAACGAGCGCAACCCUUGUCCUUAGUUGCUACGCAAGAGCACUCUAGGGAGACUGCCGGUGACAAACCGGAGGAAGGUGGGGAUGACGUCAAGUCCUCAUGGCCCUUAUGGGUAGGGCUUCACA
rnacentral:rRNA from 1 species